rnacentral:rRNA from 1 species
AUUAAUUAUUUUGUUUUUAAAUUAAUUUUAUUAAAAAUAAUUUUAAAAUUUAUUAGUUUUUGUAUUUUUUAAAGAUAAAAUAAUAUUUAUUAUAGUUUAUUAGUAUUGAAUAAGAAAAUUGAAAUAAAUUGAAAUAUAAAUAAAUAAAAAAGAAAAUUUAAUUUGUUGUACCUUGUGUAUCAGGGUUUAUUUAAUAAAAAAUAAUUAUUUAUUUUUCUCGAUUUUAAGAGAUUUAAUAAUAUAAAUUAGUUAAUGUGGAAUAAUUAUUAAUAAUAUAUUAUUAGAAAUGAAACGUUAUUCGUUCUUAAAUAUAUCUAGUUUUUUAAGAAAUAAAUUUAAUUUAUAUAUUUUUAAUAUUAAUAUUUAUUUAGUAAAUUAUUAAAUUAUAAAUAUAAAUAUUUUAAGGGAUAAGCUUUAAAAUAAAAUUUUAAAAAUUAUUUUUAUAAUAAUUAAAUAUAAGCUUAGAAUUAGUUAAUAUUAUGAAGUAUGUUAUAAUUUAUUAAUAAAUAAAUAUAAUUUAUUAUAAUUUUAAAUUGUUUAUUAAAAUAUUAAUUUUAAUUAUAAAAAUUAAUUAAUAAUGAUAAAAUUAGUAUAUUAAUAAUUGUAAUAAUAAAUAAUUGUUAAAGAUUUUUAUAAUUAAUUCGGCAAAAAUAAUAUUCACCUGUUUAUCAAAAACAUGUCUUUUUGUAUUAAAUUUAAAGUCUAACCUGCCCAUUGAAAAAUUUUAAAAGGCUGCGGUAUUUUGACCGUACAAAGGUAGCAUAAUCAAUAGUUUUUUAAUUGAAAACUUGUAUGAAUGGUUCAAUGAGAUAUUUGCUGUCUCAUAAAAAUUUUAAUUGAAUUUAAUUUUUUAGUUAAAAAGCUAAAAUGAAAUUUAAAGACGAGAAGACCCUAUAGAGUUUUAUAAAAUUUAUUUUAUAAUUUAUUUAUAAAAUUUAAAAUUUUAAAAUAAAUUUUAUUUUGUUGGGGUGACAAUAAAAUUUUAAAAUCUUUUAUUUUAAUUUUAACAAUGAUUUUUGAAUAUUUGAUCCAUUUUUAGUGAUUAAAAGAUUAAAUUACCUUAGGGAUAACAGCGUAAUUUUUUUGAAGAGUUCUUAUCGAUAAAAAUUUUUGCGACCUCGAUGUUGGAUUAAGAAUAAUAUUAGGUGUAGAAGCUUAAUUAUUGGGUCUGUUCGACCUUUAAUUUCUUACAUGAUCUGAGUUCAAACCGGUGUAAGCCAGGUUGGUUUCUAUCUUAAAUAAAUAAAUAUAUUUUAGUACGAAAGGACCAAAUAUAUAAAAUAUUAAUUUUUUAUUUAUUGACUAUUAUUAAUAUUUUUA